UACGGAGGGGACGAGCGUUAAUCGGAAUUACUGGGCGUAAAGCGCGCGUAGGUGGUUCAGCAAGUUGGAUGUGAAAGCCCUGGGCUCAACCUGGGAACUGCAUCCAAAACUACUGAGCUAGAGUACGGUAGAGGGUAGUGGAAUUUCCUGUGUAGCGGUGAAAUGCGUAGAUAUAGGAAGGAACACCAGUGGCGAAGGCGACUACCUGGACUGAUACUGACACUGAGGUGCGAAAGCGUGGGGAGCAAACAGGAUUAGAACGUACGC
rnacentral:rRNA from 1 species